AUGGCUGUCGUCAGCUCGUGCGUGAGAUGUUGGGUUAAGUCCCGCCAACGAGCGCAACCCCUCGCAUUCAGUUGCCAUCGGGUGAAGCCGGGCACUCUGGAAGGACUGCCAUCGACAAGAUGGAGGAAGGUGGGACGACGUCAAGUCAUCAUGGCCCUUAUGUCCAGGGCGACACACGUGCUACAAUGGCCGGCACAACGGGAAGCGAGUUCGCGAGGACGAGCGGAUCCCUUAAAGCCGGUCGCAGUUCGGAUUGAAGUCUGCAACUCGACUUCAUGAAGCUGGAAUCGCUAGUAAUCGCAGAUCAGCCAAGCUGCGGUGAAUACGUUCCCGGGCCUU
rnacentral:rRNA from 1 species